CGGACGGGUGAGUAAUGUCUGGGAAACUGCCCGAUGGAGGGGGAUAACUACUGGAAACGGUAGCUAAUACCGCAUAACGUCGCAAGACCAAAGAGGGGGACCUUAGGGCCUCUUGCCAUCGGAUGUGCCCAGAUGGGAUUAGCUAGUAGGUGGGGUAAUGGCUCACCUAGGCGACGAUCCCUAGCUGGUCUGAGAGGAUGACCAGCCACACUGGAACUGAGACACGGCCCAG
rnacentral:rRNA from 1 species